AUAAACUAAUAAGUGUAGAAAACAAGGGAGUGAGUGACGAGUGGUGGAUUUCCACUCAUUUAAAUAACAAUCAUUAUUGUUGGGACCCCUCUCUGUCUAGGAUUAUUGCGUACAAGAUGGAUACAUAAUUGAUGUAAGUCUUAUUGUUUUUAAAUGAGAUUGUUCAUACAUAUCCAUACACAACAACAAAAGCAACAUAUCUGAUGUCAUCCCACAAAUAGGAUUUGAAAAGGGUGAGAUAUACACAAACUAGGGUUUGAAAAGAGGAAGAUUUACAAAAACAUCUUGUUGUGAUUGUGAGAAGAGGGGUCCCAACAAUAAUGAUUCACAUGAAUUUCAUAAGGCAGUAGUUUUGAAAUCCAUUUUAGUGUCCCAUAAACUUCAAAAAACUACUCCCCCAUAAAAUCAAUUACUCUAAUCAAUUUUUGGACAAGAAUUCCAUUCAAGUAUUUAUUAAACUCAAGGUAUGUCUUCUUCCCCCUUUCUUCAUCUUUUCUUGAAAUUGUUGAGUUAUUUAUAAAAGGGUAGAUUCUAACCCUUAGUUUUUUUAAAUCAUGAUUGGCGUUGAAAACAUUAUUGUGUAGAGAAUUAUUUUAGUUUAAUGUCCUAUAAUGGGUGUUAAUUGAAUAAGGAUGAAUUUGAGGCUUCAAAUCCUUUAUAAAUGCCAUGAGAACAGGUUACAACUUGUUUAAUGCAAUGCCAAAGUGAAAAAUAUUUUCUAGGCUGAAGUUUUCUAUGCGAUCAUGGUCUCAUCCCGUGAUCACGAUAUCACAUCCCACAAUCACGCCAUAUUAAAAUUUUAAAUUCCAUGAUUGUGAUAUCUAAUCUUGCAAUUACAAUGACACUAAAGGUUGAUGAUCAUGAUCACAACGUCUUAUCCCGUGAUUGCAAUGAGUCGUGUGCUUCGUAUUGAAAACUACCAAAAAUAGUAACUUUUCCUCUAUUGACUCGAUUCUUUUUUAACUCAUUUCAUUGACCUAAUUUCUUUAUCAUACAUUUAUUUACCUGCCAUAGCAUUAAUUUUACAUGCUUGUAUCUUCUAUAGGUAUGCUUUCUGCAAAAGCAUGGACUACGACAACGUCAACCAAAUGGAGGAAAAAAUGGAAGAAAAUAUCAUGGGAGAGGAAAUUUUUAGUCAUGAGCUUUUAAUGUUCGCUAAAUUCAGCGAUUGGAUGUCCACCUCCACAAAAGAAUAUCAUAAAGGAGAGUGGUCCUCUUAUAAAACGUCUCCAUGGGAACAUCAUACUUCUAUGGGAGAUUCGAGGCCAGUGAAUAGAUGUGUUUUGUUUUAAACUAGACAAGGUUAAACACAUGGUGGAUCAAGAUUUCUAUGACAAUAUUGCCGAAGGUAAUUUUUCUAGUGACUUGGUAGUCAUGAUCUGGGCAACCAAGUUUGUUUUCACUUCAUGAGGAUCAAUAAUUAUUAUUGUAUUAAUGAUGUUAAUAAUGAUAUUCACAUGACAAGUACAACGGAAGAGGGCCAAUGGUUGUUUGUGAGAUACUUGCAUGGUGGUCAUAUGCCUAAAUGGAUUAAGAACAACUAGUGGAUUCAUUCCUCAAAAUUCAAAGCUAAAGACAAAAACUUGGGUGUCCGUCAUUUUAAUUCGGGUGAUACCAAUUUUUCUCUUUAUUAGGAGCUUUUGACUUUUCCCAUCACAGAUGGGAUUCCUAUUAAUGUUGGGUGGAUCAUUGUGCAACACAUUCAGUGUAAAAACAAUAAAUAAUAGACCAAGAUUAACAUGUCGAUACAUCAUUGCCUAAUUACUAAUAUAUGUUUUAUUAUCAUUUUGAGGAUUUAAAAUUUUGCGAUAAUUACAACAUUGCUUAUGUAAGACCCCAAAAAUGACCUAGGUUAUCUAGAUACUAACAUGUAAGUAUUGAUUUUCUAAGUUCCUAAAUAUGACUAAAAUAUAGUAUAUAGGCUGUAGCGAAAAUAUUAGAAGUGUUGGAACUCAAACGUAGAGGGACGACCAAGACGUUCGAUGACUAAGUCACCUAAAUGUCUAAAAUGUGGUUGUAUGUGUUUAUGUGUAUUUCAUGGUGUUUUAAGGUUCUUACUUGACUUAAUACAGUAUAUAUAGUCAGUGGUUGAAGUUUCGUGAAGUUUAAAGGUUAAACAACCCAGAACGUCCAAGGCUUUCGAAAGAUAUGCCUUGAGUCGACCUUGUACGUCUAGGCGAUUUUCAUCAUGUUUUACGUGUUAGUUUUGGAUUAAAUUCAUUUGAGAGAUGUUACACAUAUAUACGGUCGUAUUUGGGUUGGAAACGUUUGGGAAAUUUACCCCAAAGACCAUCUAAUAGUCCUUGAGGAAGGACCAAAAAUUAGUGUGCAGGCUGUCCCAUGCAGACCUUGCCGACGGAGAAGUCAACUGCACGUCGUGUCUGUGAUGCCCCUUGAAAUGGUCCCGUAGUGAGGAGUUAGACAAGGGUGAAGAGAGGAAUCUUGAACAGCUAUUUUAGCCAACGACGGAGGGCUGUGACGCCACGUCAUGACUGUGACGGCCUGUCAAGGGCAGGCAUCGCACACAACUGCCUUCUUGCGCACACUGCUGCCAAUUCAAGGGGUGAUUUGGUAAAUUCACCCCACUUGUAAAAUAAGUCACGGAAGGUUUAUUAAGGGUAUCUUCGAUGUUUUAAUUAAAUAUGUAAAGGGUUAUCACAUGGAAAGUAGUUAUGGAACCUUUUUACGUGAACCUUCUUUGGUUGUGUAAAUGUGAUUGGGUUACGAACUAGUUAUGGAAUUAUUUUAUGUGAACCUAAUGUAUGAACUAAUUUAUGAGAACGAAGGCUAGCACCGUGUGUGUCUGGUAAGGGAAUGUAGUUCUAGUUAAGUAUGAGACUAGAAUACAAAGAAGCCUUUCAUAUUCCUUAACAAUGUGCCUACAUGGGAUGUGUCAAAGUUGUACCAUUGGAAAGUAGAACAACAUCAUCAGAGUAGGAUAGAACUCCGGAUUUCAUGUCUUGCUAUCAUGGUCUAUGUCGGUUAUUGCCUGUUCUCAUCAUAUGCAAUACCCAUUAGCAUUUCAGGAGUUUAUGGAGUUUAGAUGGUAGUAUGGGACGCUACGUAGACAUUUCACAAUAGACUUUGAAGGUGUUAUAUAGAUUUACUAGGUCUUCUACAAGACCAUUAUGUGAAUGUCCUUUAUGUUAUGUUUGAUUCUUAAUGAACUAAGGAACUAAUGACUUAUGUUACGGAGUAUGUAAAUAAAUGAGUACCUAAUGUAAUGUCACUUAAGGAUUUCUUAGCUAAAGUGUGAAGAGGGAAUAGGAGAUGAUCUUUUUAUGUCUUCUCUUUGGAAGGAUUGAGUAUGAAUCUUGUUAGGGAAGUAGGUUUAUUUUGUGGGCAUUAUCUAAGUCUUAGGUAGUCUGGAGGACUAUUUAGGAAAUCUUGAAGAGGUCUCUAUGGACGUUAUGUUCUUGAUUUACUUAAGUAGGACUUUUGAUAGUCUUUGGGAAUAGAAUGUCAUAUUAUCUAUGUGUUGGUGAUUUAAGUGAGCAUGAUCCUAUCUUAGGGAGUCUAUUGGAUCUCUUAAGUAUGUGUGUAAGGGAUUGUACGGGCGGUCGCUUCACAACUAACUUAAGUGAGACUUAGAAUUCACCUUUGGUAGAAGAAUCUCACCUUGAUGUUUAUGAUUUCUUUGUAAGUAUGUAUUUGAAUCAUUAAAGGUAAUCUUAAGGGUCGUUUAGGCACAUCUAGAGAGGCCGUAUAAGCGGUCUCUCUUUGUGUGACUUAAGUGAAUCUUAGGAUGACAUUAAGUGGGGAAAUUACAUGCUAGAAGUAUCUUAUGUGUUUCUAAAUUUAUUUAUGAUGUUAUUAUUAUUAUAAUAUGAUUUUAAAUGAAAAGAUACAUAUUUCCAAUACAGUCCAUUUUCAUGAUUUAUAUGCAUAAGCCAUACUUAGUACAUGUGGUUCUACUAAUUCCAUGAUUUUAUCUAGCUAUAAAGUUCUUGGUAGGUGAGUAGCUUUGAGAAGUGAGGACUUAGACUUAAAAGAUUAUUCAAGAGAAGUUGAAGUAUGUCCUACUUGACUUGAGGGCAUAUAUAUGUCUUUUAUGUUUUCGUUCAAAGCAUUGUAAUAGACUAAGCAUUUCUAUAUUUGUAUUUUGAAGUAUGGCCCGUGUCCCAUGUUUUCUUGUGUCUUAAGAUGAUGACAUUGAGACUUAGUAUUUCCUAUUACUUUUAUAUCAAAAAGAUUUUGAAGAAUAUAUUAUGUUUUAUAAAAAGUUUUAAUUUCGCACUACUUUUCACUAUGUACAUGCAAUGAAAAAUAUUAAAGGGCUUGUCUAAGAACUUCGAGUGUUCGACGACCCGUGCCACAGUCAAAGAUUGUGCCCUAACUUCUAGGGAGUUUAUUCGGGUUUUGAGAAAGCUUGGUAUUAGAGCAUAGGAUUGUGAAAGUAGUAUUAGCAAUCAAGAAGUAUCAUCAAGUCACGUCUAGUAGAUUCUUGACGAUCGGGGUGAGUAACAAUAUAUCUAUGGAUGAGAGGCUAUAGAACGAUAGAACUUACCUUCUUUUCUACCCCUACGUCGUGCGGUAAAGUAAAUGUUAUGAUUAUCCUUCUUAUGAGUUUCCUUGUGUUUUCUUGGAGAUGAAUACUAGAAGGAUGGCCGCUAGAAGGUUGAAAGAGGAGAGGGUGGAUGAGGAGGUUCCCCCCCAAGCUUAGAAAGUAGAGCAAGUUCCUCGAGGUUGGCAAUAAGUUCAAGGUGCUAAAGAUGACCAAGUGCCUCCCGAAGGUGAUCCUAUACCAAAUGUAGAAGGAGGUAUUGAGGUUCCGGAGAUGUCUAUUAGGGAGAUUAGAGAGGCUUUGAUUGCUAUCACCCAAGACGUGACUAUGUAAGCUAAUAUGAAUAUGAGGCCUAGGGUUGUGGAGAGCACUAUGACAUCUAGGUUGAGAGAUUCUGUGAGGAUGAAUCCUCCGAUCUUUCUUUGCUCUAAGGUAAAUAAGAAUCCCCAAGAGUUUUUUGAUAUAGUGUACAAAAUUUUCAGUGCUAUGGGGGUUUCAUCUAGGGAGAAGGCGGAGUUGAAUUCGUACCAAUUGAGGGAUGUUUCUCAAAUUUGCUACACUCAAUGAAAGGAUAAUAGGCCAGAAGGAUUGGGUCCUAUUGAAUGGGAAGAAUUUAAAGAAGCUUUUCAUGGUAUGUAGUUUCUCCGGGAGAGGAGAGAAAUUAAGAUGGAGGAGUUUAUCAAUCUAAAGAAAGGCAAUAUGAGUGUUGCGGAGUACUCUUUGAAAUUCUCAACUUUGUCCAGGUAUGCCCCUUCUCUUUUGUCCAAUCCCAGAGAUAAAAUGAUUUGUUUUGUGACGGGGGUAGCCGAUUUAGUGGUGGAAGAGUGUCAUACAACUAUGUUGCAUAAUGAUAUGACCCUAGCUAGACUCUUGGUGUAUGCCCAAUCAAUUUAAAAGUCUAAACACAGGAGGACGAGUAGAAGUUUUAUAAUGAGUUGUGCUAGUGAUCAAGAGCAAACUAGGUUUAAGAAGAAGGUUCAAUCUCAAGGAGAAUCUAAAAGUGCUAAGUUCAAGGUUGAUAAAGGAGGUGGUUUGAAGGAUGGCAAGCGUACUUGGGCAAAUUGUGGCAAGAAAAAUUAUGGUGAGUGUCUAUUUACCGGGAGUCUCUUUUGUUGUGGUAAAGAUGGGCACAAAAUGAGAGAUAUUCCUAUGAUUGCUUCUAGAGGAAGAGAGGAUAAGAAAUUUUCUCCUAGUGUUCCAAAGGAUUAUGCUUCGACUAAGAGGCGUUUAUAUGCACUCCGUUAUAGAGUGGAGAAGCCGGAUCUAAUGUAGAGUGAUGAUGAUGUUGGUAAGUUCUCUUUCUUUGGUGAAGAUAUGAGUCCCUUCUAAGUGGGGGAGUAUAGUUUGUAGAUGGGAUAGAAGUCCUUGAAAUUGCUGCUUGUACAUGAUGUUUAGGAGUUUUGUUGAAAUUGAAUUUCAUUAACUUCUUGCAUUGUGUGUUUUAUGAAGCCAUGAUUAUGUCGUAAGAUGUAUUUAUAUGAUGUUGCUUUGCAUAUUAGCAUUUUUAUAUCAUGAAUUUCUUAAAAAUGUGAAUUUUUGAAAAAUUGCUUAAAGAAAGUCAUAUUUUCCUUAAAAACUGCAUGCUGUCAUAUUUUUAAGAAAAUGACUAAUUGAUUCGUUUGCAAAAAAAAUUCUAAUGUGGUUAGAACUAAUGUAUAUGAUUAGGGUAUUGAUUAUAAAAUGAGUUUUUACUAUUUAAACUGAAGAAUGUGAAGUUGAUGUUUUCUUCUUGUAAAGGUGUUUUAUGGUUUGCUUAUGAGCUGCUAGUUGAGUCACUAAUUUUGGAAGUGUUCGGAGAGUGGAAAGUUUCAUUCGAAGGCGAAUGUUUUCCAAGUGGGGGAGACUGUAAGACCCAAAUAAUGACCUAGCUUAACUUGGGCCUAACAUGUUGGUAUUGAUUUUCUAAGGUCCUAAAUAUGUCUAAAAUAUAGUAUAUAGGCAGUAGCUAAAAUAUUAGAGGUGUUGGAAGUCAAACGUCAAGGGACGACCAAGACGUUCGACGACUAAGUCACCUAAAUGUCUAAAAUGUGGGUCUAUGUUUUUAAGUGUGUUUCAUGGUGUUUAAGGUCCUUAAUUGAGUUAAUAUAGAAUUUAUAGGUAGUGGUUAAAGUUUCUUGAAGUUUGGAGGUCGAACGACAAAGAACGUCCAAGGCAUUCGAAAGAUAUGCCUUGAGUCGACCUUUUACAUCUAGACGAGUAUCAAAAAGUUUUAUGUGUUCGUUAUGGAUGAAAUUCAUGUGAAAGGUUUCAAACUUAUAGAAUAUCGUAUUUGGGUUGGAAACAUCCGGAAAAUUAUCCCCAAGGAUCAUCUAAGAGUCCUUGAAGAAGGACCCAAAAUUAGUAUGCAGGCUGUACCUGGCAGAACUUAGAGUACGGCCCGUCGUGGCUGUGACGCCCAGUCAAAGGGUCCCGUGGUGAGGGAAGUAGAAAAGUGUGAAUAGAGGAAGCUUGUAAAGCUACUUUAGCCAACGACGGUGGGCUUUGACGCCCCGUCGUGGUUGUGACGAACCGUCAAGGGCAGGCGUCGCACGCAACUGCCUUCCUGCGCAGGCUGCUGCCAAGUCAAGGGGUGAAUUGGUAAAUUCGCCCCACUUCUAAAUUUAGUCAUUGAAAGUUUAUUAAGGGUCGUUUGGGUAUUUUAAUUAAAUAUAUAAAAGGUAUUAAUAUUGAAGACCGCAUUCUUCAAAAUCAUAAACCCAAAACUCUUAGAAAAUAUUCCAAAACCUCCAUUGAAGUCCAACUUGAAGAGGAAGGUAGGUGAGGGGUUUUCGUGUCUAAAUUCUUCAUCAAAGUGAAGAAUUAUCAUCCUUGAGGUAUGACUUUUGAUCCUUGAAACUCGUAUCACCAAGGAGCCUAACUCUCAACAUAUUUUUCAAAGUUUUCUAAAGUGAAUUGCCCAAUUUCAUGAUUCUACCAUGGGUUCUUGCAUAAAUGAUUUCUAAACAUUGAAUUAUGAUCUAAUUGUUAUUUUAUUGAUGAUUUCAAUAUAAAUUACCUAUUAACCCAUGAAUUUGGAUGAACCCUAAUUUUUUACUAUAAUGUGGGUUACUUGAUAUUAAGCUAAUAUUGUUGAAUUGUAAUGUAGUUUCUUAUGGGCUUUCUAAUGAUAUUAGAAUUGUAUUCAAUUGUUAUAUAAUUUAUCCUAGAUGGUUAAACCUAAAUUUAAUUGACAGAGAUUUCAUUGGAUUUUAUGAUUAUUGCUUGAAUUGUUUGUUAUGUCCAUGGGUAAGGGCCUUGUGAUGUUGAAUUGGACGACUUAGCAUUGAAUUGAAGUGUGAAUAAGGGGAUGAAGGUAUGCUGCCCGGAAUUCUUUAAUUUUAUAUUAAUUUUACUUCUAUUCUAUUGUGAUUGAUAUGGUCAAAUUAUGGUGGCGGUGUUAUGUGUUUUACUUGUAAUUGACGUGGCCUUAUCGGCGUUACUUUAUGCAAUAUUUUGAGCAUGGCCUUAUUGGAAACUACUUGAAGUUAUGUGGCUAUUUGUGUAGUUUUAUUAUGUGAAGCAUGGUGCUAUCUAUCUACAUGUUAAGUUAUAUAGUAAUAUAUGUAUUCUUCUAGUUAUGUUGCCUUAAGUGAUCAUGUUAGACUUUGACUUGCCAUUAUCAGUAUAGUGUUAGGUUAAGUCUUGGUUAUUUCUAUUUGACUUUAUGAGUCUAUGUGUAGUACAUUUAUGAUGUUUAUAUGAUAUAUAGAUUACUUGAAAUUGUAUAGUUGUUUUAGAGGUGUUUCUAGAAUGACUUGUAUUAUGUGUUAAAAUUGAAGUACGUGAUGCCUUGUCUUGAUUGACUUGUAUAUCAUGCUUGAUGAAUAUAUGAUUAUGAAUAUGCGAUGUCUUGCUAUAGAGUGUUAGAUAUCUUAGCAUUGAAUGUAUGAUUUACAUGUGAAUUUAAAAGAUGUUAUGAGAGUCUCUUAUGUGCAAACCUUGACUUAAGGGUAAGGUUAAGAAUAAAUUAAAGUGUAAGCCAAAAUGGUAUCCUUCAAAGUAAAGGAAUGAUGGAAUUAAGGUUAGUUGGCUUGAACGACAUCAUAUUAAUCUUUAGGAAAGUCGUGAUGAGAUUUUUGUCGCCAUUGUGAGGUAGCCCUAGUGGACUUUCUUUGGUAGGGUAAAUGUGAUUGGGUUAUGAACUAGUUAUGGAACACUUUUAUGUGAACCUAAUGUAUUUUUUACUCUAUGAGGACGAAGGCUAGCAGCGAGUGAGUAUGGUAAGGGAAAGUAGUUCUGGUUAAGCAUGAGACUACAAUAAAAAAAAGAUCUUCAUAUUCAUUAACCAUGUGCCUACAUGGGAUGUGUCCAAUUAUUACCAUAGGCAAGUAGUAAAACCUCAUCGAAAUAGGAUGGAACUUCAGAUUCCAUGUCUUUCUAUCACGGUCUAUGUCGGUUAUUGCCUAUUCUCAGUAUAUGGAAUACCUAUUAGCAUUUGAGGAGUUUAUGGAGUUUAGAUGGUGGUAUGGGACGCUAUCUAGACAUUGCACAAUAGACUUUGAAGGAGUUAUGUGGAGUUCCUAAGUCUUGUUCAAGACCAUUAUAUAAAUGUCUUUUAUGUGAUGUAUUGGUCUUAAUGAACUAAGGAACUAAUCACUUAUGUUAAGAAGUAUGUAAAUAAAUGAGUACGUAAUCUAAAGUGACUUAAGGAUUUCUUAGCUAAAGUGUGAAGAGGGCAUCAGUGAUUAUCUCUUCAUGUCUAAUCUUUGGAAGUCUUAAGUAUGACUCUAGUAAGAGAAGUUAGUUGAUUUUGUGGACAUGAUCUAAUCCUUAGGUAGUCUUAAGGACUAUUUAGGAAAUCUUGAAGAGGUCACUAUUGACGUUAUGUUCUUGAUUUACUUAAGUAGGUCUUUUGAUAGCCUUUGGGAAGAGAAUGUCAUAUCAUCUACGUGUUGGUGAUUUAUGUGAGCAUGAUUCUAUCUUAGGGAGUCUAUUGGAUCUCUUAAGUGUGUGUGUAAUGUAUUGUAUGGGCGGUCGCUACUCGACUCACACAAGUGAGACUUAGAGUUCUUCUUUGGUAGUAGAAUCUUACCUUGAUGUUUAUGAUUGCUUUGUAAAGAUGUAUGUGAAUCAUUAAAGGUAAUCUUAAGAAUCGUUUAGGCACAUCUAGAGAGCGUGUAUGGGCGGUCUAUCUUUGUGUUACUUAAGUAAAUCUUAGGAUUACUAUAAGUGAGGAAAUUACAUGCUAGAAGUAUCUUAUGUGUUUCUAAAUUGAUUGAUGAUGUUAUUAUGAUUAUAAAAUGAUUUUAUAUGAAAAGAGGCAUAUUUCCAAUAAAGUUUGUUUCAUGAUUAUUAUGCAUAGGCCAUACUUAGUACAUGUGGUUGUACUAAUUCCAUGCUUUUAUCUAUCUAUAUUUUUUUUUGUAGGUGAGGAGCUUUGAGAAGUGAGGACUUGGACUUAGAAGAUCUUUAAAGAGAAGUUGAAGUAUGUCCUCACUUGAUUCGAGGGCAUAUAUAUGAAUUUUAUGUUUUCAUUUGAAGUAUUAUAAUAGAAUAAGUACUUCUAUAUUCAUAUUUUGAAGUAUAGAACGUGUCCCAAGUAUUCUUGUGUCUUAAGAUGAUG
rnacentral:lncRNA from 1 species